AGCAGCCGCGGUAAUUCCAGCUCCAAUAGCGUAUAUUAAAGUUGUUGCAGUUAAAAAGCUCGUAGUUGAACUUCAGGCCUGGCUGGACGGUCCGCCCUCUGGGUGAGCACUGUCUGUGGUCGGGUCCUACCUUCUGGCGAAGCGGCAUGGCCUUAACCGGCCGUGGCGGGGAACCAGGACUUUUACUGUGAAAAAUUAGAGUGUUCAAAGCAGGCACGCGCUUGAAUACAUUAGCAUGGAAUAAUGGAAUAGGACAAUGGUUCUAUUUGUUGGUUUCUAGGACCGUUGUAAUGAUUAAUAGGGAUAGUUGGGGGCAUUAGUAUUCAAUUGUCAGAGGUGAAAUUCUUGGAUUUAUUGAAGACUAACUACUGCGAAAGCAUUUGCCAAGGAUGUUUUCAUUAAUCAAGAACGAAAGUUAGGGAUCGAAGACGAUCAGAUACCGUCGUAGUC
rnacentral:rRNA from 1 species